AUUGAACGCUGGCGGCAGGCCUAACACAUGCAAGUCGAACGAGUGGCGGACGGGUGAGUAAUGUCUGGGAAACUGCCCGAUGGAGGGGGAUAACUACUGGAAACGGUAGCUAAUACCGCAUACCAUCGGAUGUGCCCAGAUGGGAUUAGCUAGUAGGUGGGGUAAUGGCUCACCUAGGCGACGAUCCCUAGCUGGUCUGAGAGGAUGACCAGCCACACCGGGAGUGCGACACGGUCCAGACGCCGACGGGAGGCAGCAGUGGGGAUGAUGGCACAAUGGGCGCAAGUCUGAUGCAGCCAUGCCGUGUGUAUGAAGAAGGACUUCGGGUUGUAAAGUACUUUAAGCGAGGAGGCGUUACUCGCAGAAGAAGCACCGGCUAACUCCGUGCCAGCAGCCGCGGUAAUAC
rnacentral:rRNA from 1 species